rnacentral:sRNA from 1 species
AGCAAUCCUAAUGCUGAUAUUUGUAGAUGCAAACAAAAUAAGAAUACCUAUCUAAUUUUCUGCUCUAACAAUUUGCCCCUUCUUUCCCUAAAAAACUGAAUCCAAAGAUUACAAAUCCACAUGAUACUAACCCCAAUGGCCAUGACCACCACCAAAACCCACGAGACCCAGGCCCAAGCGGGAACAAGCCCAUACCCGCCCCCACUCGCGUAGAACGUCACCAUCCGGUACAUGAAGUAGGGCCCAAUGAAGCCCCUCACAACGGAGUAAACCGCAAAAAACGGCGGCGAGAGCGCGUCGUAGAACCUCGCAGCAAAGGGAUCCUCGCGACGGCGCGCGCCAGCCAGGGUCCACGCGUUCUGGCACGCGCUGGUGACCUCGGCGAGUACGAGGAGCACGAGGACGGAGAAAGCCCCGUGCGAUACGGCGUGCCGGCACGUGAGGACAACGAAGAGUGUAGCCACGUGGUGCGCGAUGAAGAGCACGUCGCUCGGGUAGAAGGCCACAUAGUGGAGCAGAUCCGUUAGGAAGUAGGCGGCGCUGAAAUCGAGGACCAGCUUCUGGAAGGCGGUGUUAGGCGCUGCGAAGCCCCGCUGGUGGUCGGCGAGAAGGGCGGCACUGCCAAGGAGCGCGGCAGGGGUGCCGUGGAAGAUCGAGAUCAGGCAGCUGGAGAAUUCUUGUCGGAUCUUGGUGGACUGUUUGCGGAAAACGAUGAAGUAGCCGACGAGGUAGAUGGCGAGGAACAUGAGGAAGAAUGGCAAAAGAACCCAGCUUUGCAACGACGCUAACGAGGAAUGUGGUUUUGGUGAAGUUAAAGGAAGCGAGAACGCGGUAGGGAGAAAAAAUGGAGAUAUGAUGAACUGGGGAAUGGAAUAAGCAAAGCAAGCAAUCGAUCAAUGUGAUGAACAAACUGGACUCGUUGUUGCUUAUUGGGCUCUUAAAUGACUCGCCUAUUGGAGAGUUUACAAAUUAUCAUAUUUAAGGGGUUUCUUCUUGCACCCCGUGUGUUUUUUUUCUUCCACUUUUAAACUUUUGUCUUUUUCCAUUUUACCCUCUCCGUAAUAUUUUUGAAAUCAGUUAAUUCAGUGAACAUAUUUUUUAACCGAAUCCGGGAGGUGUAAGAAGCAGAAUGUAGGAUCCGAAUUCAAAAUUUCAGGGAGUAAUGUUUGUGUUCCAGAUUUCUCAAUCCAGUGAAUGUAUCUUCUUCUUCAUCCGGCUCAUCCUAUUUGACCAGCAAAACCAACACACAGUAGUCUAAAAUAAAACCACGCUCUCCUGUUUUACUCUUUCUUGUCUAUUUCACGUCCUUACAACUUCUUCAACCCUUAGUAAUGUAAUGUGGAAUUUGCAUAAAUAUAUAUUCCUGUGACUUCAAGGAAAAGUGAGAUUGUGAGUUCCAAACGUACCGGAUACACUGUCAUUCUUGUAACCAUA